ensembl:snRNA U2 U2 spliceosomal RNA
AUCGCUUCUCGGCCUUUUGGCUAAGAUCAAGUGUAGUAUCUGUUCUUAUCAGUUUAAUAAAAUGAGGAUAAGAACCCAUUAACUGAUAUUUUCCUACCCCUACAAAAGACAGCAAAAUUCAUCUAUGAAUUUUAACUAUGCAUAUGACUUAAUAGGUAUUUACACAAGCGUCGAUAAUAACUCAGGCCUA